rnacentral:tRNA from 1 species
GGAGCGGUAGCUUAGUUAGUCAAGCGCCCGGUUGAAGCCCGGGAGUCAGGGGUGCAAUUCCUCUCCGCUCCA